GAACGGUCUGGAAAGUCCGACGGUACAGGGUGAUAGUCCCGUACACCAAAAUGCACAGGUUGUGAACUCGAAGAGUAGGGCGGGACACGUGGUAUCCUGUCUGAAUAUGGGGGGACCAUCCUCCAAGGCUAAAUACUCCUGACUGACCGAUAGUGAACCAGUACCGUGAGGGAAAGGCGAAAAGAACCCCGGCGAGGGGAGUGAAAAAGAACCUGAAACCGUGUACGUACAAGCAGUGGGAGCACCUUCGGGUGUGACUGCGUACCUUUUGUAUAAUGGGUCAGCGACUUAUAUUCUGUAGCAAGGUUAACCGUAUAGGGGAGCCGCAGGGAAACCGAGUCUUAACUGGGCGUUAAGUUGCAGGGUAUAGACCCGAAACCCGGUGAUCUAGCCAUGGGCAGGUUGAAGGUUGGGUAACACUAACUGGAGGACCGAACCGACUAAUGUUGAAAAAUUAGCGGAUGACUUGUGGCUGGGGGUGAAAGGCCAAUCAAACCGGGAGAUAGCUGGUUCUCCCCGAAAGCUAUUUAGGUAGCGCCUCGUGAACUCAUCUUCGGGGGUAGAGCACUGUUUCGGCUAGGGGGUCAUCCCGACUUACCAACCCGAUGCAAACUACGAAUACCGAAGAAUGUUAUCACGGGAGACACACGGCGGGUGCUAACGUCCGUCGUGAAGAGGGAAACAACCCAGACCGCCAGCUAAGGUCCCAAAGUCAUGGUUAAGUGGGAAACGAUGUGGGAAGGCACAGACAGCCAGGAUGUUGGCUUAGAAGCAGCCAUCAUUUAAAGAAAGCGUAAUAGCUCACUGGUCGAGUCGGCCUGCGCGGAAGAUGUAACGGGGCUAAACCAUGCACCGAAGCUGCGGCAGCGACACUAUGUGUUGUUGGGUAGGGGAGCG
rnacentral:rRNA from 1 species